UUAAAAGUGCAUCAAGAAAGAAGUCAGAUAUUUCUAUAAACUUUUAACAUGGCAUUUGUCUUGCUGUAGAUAUAAAACACUUCUUCUUUCUUGUCUGUUUAUGAGUAGGAGUCACCAUAACAGGGUGAGCAGUAGAAAUGUUUUCAGUCUUGCCUUUGAUGGUCCCACUCAGCACCAGCUGAAAACACCCUUAUAAUAUUUUAACAUUUUCCCUUCCUCUAUUAAAUAAUGUGUCAUUCUGGGUUGUCUGUCAUCUGAGCCAGUGACUCAGUUCUGUCUAAGAAUAUGUCUGCGACUUUGAUGAUUGCAAAAUUCAGGAAGUUUUCCCCUUAGAAAAGCCCAGCUUUUAUCCCUAGAGCACAGGAGCGUAGAGAGAAGACUUAGAGCCAGAUUGUGAUAACCACAGGGAGUUGGAGGAGAAUUUGAGGAUUUUUCUGAACAGUUUACAUUCCUAAGGAGGGAGACAGUCUUUUGCCUUCAAAUGAGCUCUGUGAAAUCCCUUUUAGUGUUGUAAAACAUACCUCCUUAGUCUCAGAUGGUACCUUUGCCUUAAAACUCAGACUUGAGGAUGAAGUGGAGAGUGAAGAACUUAAACCUCUGCUGCUUGCAGUCUCUGGAUGUCUGCCGAGCAGUAAGCAUCAACUCACAGACAGGGUCUACUUGUGAAAGUUACAGCUACUUGGAAGCCCUCAACAGAGAAGUGAGAUUUAAGUUUCUGGGUGUGAAGCACUAAAACCUCACCCCCCCACCAUGCUGGAAUGUCUUGCAUCAUAAUAUGAAUUUAGCCCAAUCAGUAUUUCUAAUUUAUUGUGAAACAUCGCCAACAAAUUACCCUAAUGCCUUCUGUUUGCUCACCUUUUUCUGGCCCAGCGAUUCCUGAUGAGAGAAUGAAAGAGAAUCUCCUGAAGCCUUUAUUAAAACAGACUGCAACCCGCAGUCCGCAGUCCGGUGUUCCUGAUCUCCUUGGGUUGUGAUGAUCUCCUAUGUUUACAUUCUUAAGGCGGCCUCAGGAGAUGCCGAUGAAGCUGAUGGGGGUAGCACAGGUUGAGAGUCCUGCUAUUGAUAACCUAGAACUAUUUUUGAUAAUUCAAUAAACAAAUCACUGUCAAUUCACCAAACACCUUAGGGCCACAGAGGACAGGGAUGAAAAACAAGCCUAUGUGUUCAAGGACUAUCAAAUUGAAACUAUACCUUUUAAUAAAUACAUUACCCUAAGAAUCAAACAUAUAAUCCUUGUAUUUUUGGAACAGUACUAUCUGAAAGAAGUCAGCCAAGUAAUCAAUUUUAAA